GACGAACGCUGGCGGCGUGCUUAACACAUGCAAGUCGAACGGAAAGGCCUCUUUCGGGGGGUACUCGAGUGGCGAACGGGUGAGUAACACGUGAGUAACCUGCCCUUGACUUUGGGAUAACUUCAGGAAACUGGGGCUAAUACCGGACAGGAGCUCCUGCUGCAUGGUGGGGGUUGGAAAGUUUCGGCGGUUGGGGAUGGACUCGCGGCGUAUCAGCUUGUUGGUGGGGUAGUGGCUUACCAAGGCUUUGACGGGUAGCCGGCCUGAGAGGGUGACCGGCCACACUGGGACUGAGGUACGGCACAGACACCUACGGGAGGCAGCAGUGGGGAAGAUUGCACAAUGGGUGGAAGCCUGAUGCAGCAACGCCGUGUGCGGGAUGACGGCCUUCGGGUUGUAGACCGCUUUCGCUCAUGACGAAGCUUUGUGUGACGGUAGUGGGUAAAGAAGCACCGGCUAACUACGUG
rnacentral:rRNA from 1 species